UGGGGGAUAUUGCACAAUGGGCGAAAGCCUGAUGCAGCGACGCCGCGUGGGGGAUGAAGGCCUUCGGGUUGUAAACUUCUUUUGCUCUGAACAAGGCAUGCCUUUGGGGUGUGUUGAGUGUAGGGGUUGAUUAGCGCCGGCUAACUACGUGCCAGCAGCCGCGGUAAUACGUAGGGCGCGAGCGUUGUCCGGAAUUAUUGGGCGUAAAGGGCUCGUAGGCGGUUUGUCGCGUCUGCUGUGAAAGACCGGGGCUUAACUCCGGGGUUGCAGUGGGUACGGGCAGACUAGAGUGCGGUAGGGGUAGCUGGAAUUCCUGGUGUAGCGGUGGAAUGCGCAGAUAUCAGGAGGAACACCGAUGGCGAAGGCAGGUUACUGGGCCGUUACUGACGCUGAGGAGCGAAAGCAUGGGGAGCGAACAGG
rnacentral:rRNA from 1 species